rnacentral:rRNA from 1 species
UACGGGGGGGGGUAAGCGUUGUCCGGAAUCAUUGGGCGUAAAGCGCGUGUAGGCGGCCAUGCAGGUCCGCUGUGAAAACUCGAGGCUCAACCUCGAGACGUCGGUGGAAACCGCAUGGCUAGAGUCCGGAAGAGGAGAGUGGAAUUCCCGGUGUAGCGGUGAAAUGCGCAGAUAUCGGGAGGAACACCUGCGGCGAAGGCGGGUUGCUGGGCUGACACUGACGCUGAUGCGCGAAAGCUAGGGGAGCGAACGGG